GGGGAAUUUUGCGCAAUGGGGGAAACCCUGACGCAGCAACGCCGCGUGCGGGAUGACGGCCUUCGGAUUGUAAACCGCUUUCAGCAGGGAAGAAGAUCGACGGUACCUGCAGAAGAAGCUCCGGCUAACUACGUGCCAGCAGCCGCGGUAAUACGUAGGGAGCGAGCGUUAUCCGGAUUCAUUGGGCGUAAAGAGCGCGUAGGCGGCCUUUCAAGCGGGAUCUCUAAUCCGAGGGCUCAAUCCCCGGCCGGAUCCCGAACUGGGAGGCUCGAGUUCGGUAGAGGCAGGCGGAAUUCCCGGUGUAGCGGUGGAAUGCGCAGAUAUCGGGAAGAACACCGAUGGCGAAGGCAGCCUGCUGGGCCGAAACUGACGCUGAGGCGCGAAAGCUAGGGGAGCGAAC
rnacentral:rRNA from 1 species